rnacentral:misc_RNA from 1 species
GAAAGGGGGGACACAUAAUCUGUGAUCGACAUGGCCACUCAGUGCAAUCAACCACAGCAAUCGGACUCGUAACCUCUUUUAAGCAAUGUUACAUGAGAGCAUAGCUUUUAGAUUCUGAUUCUGGUGCUCCUCGCAUGUAACCGGCAAAUGGAGCACACUAAAUGUUACAUUUAGGGAAUCAGAGUACAGUUUGCCAAAAUGAGUUUGUAACCGACGAGAUAAUAGAAACAACUUUUAAUAAAUCCGAUUGAGUUUUCCAAAUUUCACAUAAUCGGCAAAACA